GACGAACGCUGGCGGCGUGCCUAACACAUGCAAGUCGAGCGGGAGACUUCGGUCUCUAGCGGCGGACGGGUGAGUAACACGUGGGUAACCUGCCUCAAAGAGGGGGAUAGCCUCCCGAAAGGGAGAUUAAUACCGCAUAACAUUGAGAUACCGCAUGGUAUUUCAAUCAAAGGAGCAAUCCGCUUUGAGAUGGACCCGCGGCGCAUUAGCUAGUUGGUGAGGUAACGGCUCACCAAGGCGACGAUGCGUAGCCGGCCUGAGAGGGUGAACGGCCACAUUGGAACUGAGACACGGUCCAGACUCCUACGGGGGGCAGCAGUGGGGAAUAUUGCACAAUGGGGGAAACCCUGAUGCAGCAACGCCGCGUGAGUGAUGAAGGCCUUCGGGUUGUAAAGCUCUGUCUUUUGGGACGAUGAUGACGGUACCAAAGGAGGAAGCCACGGCUAACUACGUGCCAGCAGUUGCGGUAAUACGUAGGUGGCAAGCGUUGUCCGGAUUUACUGGGCGUAAAGGAUGCGUAGGCGGAUAUUUAAGUCAGAUGUGAAAAUCCCGGGUUUAAUUUGGGAACUGCAUUUGAAACUGGAUAUCUAGAGUGCGGGAGAGGAGAGUGGAAUUCCUAGUGUAGCGGUGAAAUGCGUAGAGAUUAGGAAGAACACCAGUGGCGAAGGCGACUCUCUGGACCGUAACUGACGCUGAGGCAUGAAAGCGUGGGGAGUAAAUAGGAUUAGAUAUUCUGGUAGUCCACGCCGUAAACGAUGAAUACUAGGUGUGGGGGUUAUUAUGACCUCCGUGCCGCAGUUAAUAUAAUAAGUAUUCCGCCUGGGGAGUACGGUCGCAAGAUUA
rnacentral:rRNA from 1 species